rnacentral:rRNA from 1 species
GACGAACGCUGGCGGCGUGCUUAACACAUGCAAGUCGAACGGAAAGGCCCUGCAUUUGUGGGAUGCUCGAGUGGCGAACGGGUGAGUAACACGCGAGUAACCUGCCCUUGACUUUGGGAUAACUUCAGGAAACUGGGGCUAAUACCGGAUAGGAGCUCCUGCUGCAUGGUGGGGGUUGGAAAGUUUCGGCGGUUGGGGAUGGACUCGCGGCUUAUCAGCUUGUUGGUGGGGUAGUGGCUUACAAAGGCGUUGACGGGUAGCUGGCCUGAGAGGGUGACCGGCCACAUUGGGACUGAGAAACGGCCCAGACGCAUACGGGAGGCAGGGGUGAGGAAUAUUGCAAAAAGGGCGGAAGCCGGAUGCAGCAACGCCGGGUGCGGGAUGACGGCCUUCGGGUUAUAAACCGCUUUCGCCUGUGACGAAGCGUGAGUGACGGUAAUGGGUAAAAAAGCACCGGCUAACUACGUG